rnacentral:tRNA from 1 species
CGCGGGGUAGAGCAGUUGGUAGCUCGUCGGGCUCAUAACCCGAAGAGGUAGUCGCUGUGGUCUACAUUCAGUUCAAGUCUGAACUCCGUGA